rnacentral:rRNA from 1 species
GAUGAACGCUAGCGGCAGGCCUAAUACAUGCAAGUCGGACGGGAUUUGGGAGCUUGCUCCUAAUGAGAGUGGCGCACGGGUGCGUAACACGUACGUAACCUACCUUAGUCAGGGGGAUAGCCUCUCGAAAGCGAGAUUAAGACCGCAUAACAUUAUUGAGUGGCAUCAUUUAAUAAUCAAAUAUUUAUAGGACUAAGAUGGGCAUGCGGAACAUUAGCUAGUUGGUAGGGUAACGGCCUACCAAGGCUACGAUGUUUAGGGGAUCUGAGAGGAUGGCCCCCCACACUAGUACUGAGACACGGACCAGACUCCUACGGGAGGCAGCAGUAAGGAAUAUUGGUCAAUGGUCGGAAGCCUGAACCAGCCAUGCCGCGUGCAGGAAGACGACCCUACGGGUUGUAAACUGCUUUUAUACGGGAAUAAACCUACUUACGUGUAAGUAGCUGAAUGUACUGUAAGAAUAAGGAUCGGCUAACUCCGUGCCAGCCGCCGCGGUAA